rnacentral:rRNA from 1 species
UACGUAAGUGGCGAGCGUUAUCCGGAAUUACUGGGCGUAAAGCGUACGUAGGCGGCUUUGUAAGUUAGAGGUGAAAGCCCGGGGCUCAACUCCGGAAUUGCCUUUAAGACUGCAUAGCUUGAAUCAUGGAGAGGUGAGUGGAAUUCCGAGUGUAGAGGUGAAAUUCGUAGAUAUUCGGAAGAACACCAGUGGCGAAGGCGGCUCACUGGCCCGGUACUGACGCUGAGGUGCGAAAGCGUGGGGAGCAAACAGG